GCCUUGUUGGCUAAGUGGUAUAGCGUCUCACUAGUAAUCCUGGUGUCAUGAGAAGAUCGGCGGUUCGAUUCCGCCACGAGGCA
rnacentral:tRNA from 1 species